rnacentral:rRNA from 1 species
AACGAACGCUGGCGGCGUGCUUAACACAUGCAAGUCGAACGCGAAAGUUUUCUUCGGAAAGCGAGUAGAGUGGCGCACGGGUGAGUAACGCGUAAGUUAUCUACCUCGGCAUCUGGAAUAACUCACCGAAAGGUGUGCUAAUACCGGAUACGUUGAGUAAUCAAGAAAGGUGGCCUCUGCAUAUGCUACCGUGCUGGGAUGAGCUUGCGUACCAUUAGCUAGUUGGUAGGGUAAUGGCCUACCAAGGCGACGAUGGUUAGCGGGUCUGAGAGGAUGAUCCGCCACGCUGGAACUGGAACACGGACCAGACUCCUACGGGAGGUAGCAGUGAGGAAUAUUGCGCAAUGGGGGCAACCCUGACGCAGCGACGCCGCGUGGAUGAUGAAGGCCUUCGGGUCGUAAAAUCCUGUCAGGUGGAAAGAAAUGUCUAUGUGCUAAUAUCAUGUAGACUUGACGGUACCACCGAAGGAAGCACCGGCUAACUCCGUGCCAGCCGCCGCAGUAAUAC